AUCCCGCUGGGCCGCCCCGGCGAGGUCGACGAGGUCUCCAGCUUCGUGGUGUUCCUGGCCAGCGACGAGUCCCGUUACGCCACCGGAGCGGAGUUC
rnacentral:tRNA from 2 species